ACUCCCCAACUUCCUCCUCUUCUAAUCUUCUCCCUCUCCUCCCCUCCCCCCCCUCCCUCUCUCUCUAGAUGGCCCUCUUUGUAGUCUUCCACAGCUUUCUUGAACUGCAUCCAUCCUUGUAAGGUAGGGGCUUCGAAUUGCAGUUCAAUAAAGCUGUGGGAAAUUACAGAGAGAGACCAAAGAAGCUGAAUUAUAUAUUAUUCUGAAGUUAUGAAGUUUAUCACUUCCACUGAUCUCUUUAGAGGUAGUCUGUAACAUGCUUACCCCCCUCUCCCUCGACCCUUUUCCUUCAGAUUCAUGGUAGGGAGAAUUCAAAGCAGUUGCAGCAAUGAAAUAAUUAUCAGAUCUCGUUUCAUCUUUUGUGCCACCAGUCCUUGGGUGGGGUAUGCGUGCAGUUGUGGAUGUUUUGUCUUGCUAGAUGGAUGGGAGCAUCACUUUCAUCAUGAAAGAAAAGAUGCCCUCAUGAUGAAACUUCAAAUCAAAUCUUUUUUCCUUGUUCCAAAUUCUAAUUAUGCUUCUUAUUUCUCAUGCUUCUUGUGCAGUUGAUGGGAAUUUAUUCAUGGAUUUCUCUUUUGGUAGAGUUUGUCUUCCAUCAGUACUAGCGAGUUAUAAUGCUCGGACUAUCCGAUGGUUUUAACCAUAUGAUGAAAGCUAUCAAAGAGCAGUCUUGUGGAAUAUGGCACAUCCAUCUCUCUCUCAACAAUGAAGCCAGAUGAAUCAUUUCUCCACUCCCUUGUUUCUGAUUCAGGAGAAGUACCUAUUGGCAUCCCCAAGCACAAAGAAAAAAAAAAAGCUCUACAGUUGUGUUUUGUAACCAAUGUAUUGAAGUCAAAAUUUUGUGAAGUCUAAAUGCUACAAUGUGUAACAUGACCUAAAGGUAUUCAAAAUUUCACAAGGUUGAGCCCCAUGUAUUGAGACAUUGUUUGGUGACUCAAAGUGUAUGGAAGGUAGCUAAACAAGUUGAAAUUACACAAUGGUUAAGUUGAAGUA